rnacentral:rRNA from 1 species
AAGUGCCGUUCAAGACGAGGACGUUGAUAGGCUGGGUGUGUAAGCGUUGUGAGGCGUUGAGCUAACCAGUACUAAUUGCACGUGAGGCUUGACCAUAUAAUCAUGGGUU